AGUGAACGCUGGCGGUAGGCCUAACACAUGCAAGUCGAACGGCAGCACAGUAAGAGCUUGCUCUUACGGGUGGCGAGUGGCGGACGGGUGAGGAAUACAGCGGAAUCUACUUUUUCGUGGGGGACAACGUAGGGAAACUUACGCUAAUACCGCAUACGACCUACGGGUGAAAGCAGGGGAUCUUCGGACCUUGCGCGAUCGCAUGAGCCGAUGUCGGAUUAGCUAGUUGGCGGGGUAAAGGCCCACCAAGGCGACGAUCCGUAGCUGGUCUGAGAGGAUGAUCAGCCACACUGGAACUGAGACACGGUCCAGACUCCUACGGGAGGCAGCAGUGGGGAAUAUUGGACAAUGGGCGCAAGCCUGAUCCAGCCAUACCGCGUGGGUGAAGAAGGCCUUCGGGUUGUAAAGCCCUUUUGUUGGGAAAGAAAAGCAGCAGGUUAAUACCCCGCUGUUCUGACGGUACCCAAAGAAUAAGCACCGGCUAACUUCGUG
rnacentral:rRNA from 1 species